rnacentral:rRNA from 1 species
GGACUACUGGGGUAUCUAAUCCUGUUUGCUCCCCACGCUUUCGCACCUCAGCGUCAACAACGGUCCAGUGAGCCGCCUUCGCCACUGGUGUUCUUCCGAAUAUCUACGAAUUUCACCUCUACACUCGGAAUUCCACUCACCUCUCCCGUGUUCAAGCGAUGCAGUCUUAAAGGCUAUUCCGGGGUUGAGCCCCGGGCUUUCACCUCUAACUUACAAAGCCGCCUACGUGCGCUUUACGCCCAGUAAUUCCGAACAACGCUAGCCCCCUCCGUAUUACCGCGGCGGCUGGCAC